UUUUGGCCGACAUCGUUAUGAAUAUUUGUUAGAAAUUAUGAAAUCGUUCGCUGAUCUCACGUUAGUUUAUUUUAGCAUUAGUUUUACCUUAGAAUUUUGUGUAGAUUGUCUUAGUCAAAGUUUUUUGUAUGAGAAAAUGCACAAUUUUGGUAUUGGAAAUCGAGUGAUUCCAAACUAUCGUCGUUUCAUAAAAAAGUACGAGUACCCUGAGCCAUUGCCGUCGACCACACAUUCCCCAGAUAUCUUAAAGUCUCCCUUCAAGAACCUGUACCAAGGCUCCAGAAGGCCGAAUGACACGAGGGUCUACAGGAGGAAGUUCGAAUUUGCCGCCCAGCAUACUGGCCACCACGUGCUUUGUGAAGGGAUGUUUGAUUGUAUUAUAACCCACUUAGCCAUCGAAACCACCGGUGGUAUACCUAUCCUGCUGCGUGGAGGCGCAGGCUACCGGUACUUCGUGACGGUGACGAAGGGGAAGCCAGGAGACGAGCUGAAGGGAACCGUGCGGGCGUACUGCGUGAAGAAACCAGAUGAAUAUUAUUUGAGUUCACAUAACUCCCCGUAGCGAUAUCUCCAGGGUUUAGAAAUAGCGUCAACAUGAAAAUGCACUUCGGUUUUAUCAAAACAUGCGUGAAUUAGUAUUGAUGCACGAGUGAUAUGACUGUUUCAAACCUAGAUAUUCCCGCUAGGUAUUUGUUUGUAAGACAACUGCUGAGUGUCAAGUGUAGAUAGAGCAGAAAUGAGUAA